AUUGAACGCUGGCGGCAGGCCUAACACAUGCAAGUCGAGCGGAUGAAGGGAGCUUGCUCCUGGAUUCAGCGGCGGACGGGUGAGUAAUGCCUAGGAAUCUGCCUGGUAGUGGGGGAUAACGUCCGGAAACGGGCGCUAAUACCGCAUACGUCCUGAGGGAGAAAGUGGGGGAUCUUCGGACCUCACGCUAACAGAUGAGCCUAGGUCGGAUUAGCUAGUUGGUGGGGUAAAGGCCUACCAAGGCGACGAUCCGUAACUGGACUGAGAGGACGAUCAGUCAAAUGGGAACGGAGAGACGGUCCAAAUUGCUGUGGGAGGGUGCAGUGGGGAAUUGGGGGCAAUGGUCGUAAGCCUGAUCCAGCCACGCCGCGUGUGCGAAGAAGGACUUCGGAUUGUAAAGCACUUGAAGUUGGGAGGAAGGGCAGUGAGUUAAUACCUUGCUGUUUUGACGUUACCAACAUAGUAAGGACCGGCUAACUUCGUG
rnacentral:rRNA from 1 species